GCCAUAUCAUUUUUUGAAACACUGGUUCUUGUACAAUCAACAAAGUUAAGCAACAUAAAGCCUGGUCAGUACUUAGAUGGGUGACCCCUUGUGAAUACUAGCUGCUGUAAG